rnacentral:rRNA from 1 species
GCCGCCGGCCAGAGGUGCCGGGGAAACGCCCGGUCUCAUUCCGAACCCGGAAGCUAAGCCCGGCACCGUCCCCGGUAGUAGUCCGGUCUUCGGCCGGGCGAGGCCGGGGAAGCCGGCGGCC